CUACCAUCACAGCAUCAGAUAUUAAAUAUUAUUCUAUUUUAAUUUCAGUUUGUCCUGAUAGUUUACGUUUUAGUACAACGUUUGCGGGGUCAGCUUGUAUUCUAUAGAAUGACUGGGUUGUGGGAAGUCCAAGUCGUCGCAGAUGUGGUUCUAUAGAAUGCGAAAAAUCUUCGAGUGGCCCUUUAGGUAGGAUUACAUCACGGGUUGCAAUAAAUCCAGCUCUCGCAUACUCAGUCUCACGAAACUUUUUAAAAUAUUCUAAUACCUCACUAACAUCUCUGUUUGUCAUGAGUAAACCACAUUGUCCUUUUAAUCUUUUGGAAAGCUAAAAAAAAGUAUAUUAAAAUUAAACAUAUAAUUUUGUCACAA